CUUGCUCUCUGGGUGGCGAGUGGCGGACGGGUGAGGAAUACAUCGGAAUCUACUUUUUCGUGGGGGAUAACGUAGGGAAACUUACGCUAAUACCGCAUACGACCUACGGGUGAAAGCAGGGGAUCUUCGGACCUUGCGCGAUUGAAUGAGCCGAUGUCGGAUUAGCUAGUUGGCGGGGUAAAGGCCCACCAAGGCGACGAUCCGUAGCUGGUCUGAGAGGAUGAUCAGCCACACUGGAACUGAGACACGGUCCAGACUCCUACGGGAGGCAGCAGUGGGGAAUAUUGGACAAUGGGCGCAAGCCUGAUCCAGCCAUACCGCGUGGGUGAAGAAGGCCUUCGGGUUGUAAAGCCCUUUUGUUGGGAAAGAAAUCCAGCUGGCUAAUACCCGGUUGGGAUGACGGUACCCAAAGAAUAAGCACCGGCUAACUUCGUGCCAGCAGCCGCGGUAAUACGAAGGGUGCAAGCGUUACUCGGAAUUACUGGGCGUAAAGCGUGCGUAGGUGGUCGUUUAAGUCCGUUGUGAAAGCCCUGGGCUCACCUGGGAACUGCAGUGGAUACUGGGCGACUAGAGUGUGGUAGAGGGUAGCGGAAUUCCUGGUGUACAGUGAAAUGCGUAGAGAUCAGGA
rnacentral:rRNA from 1 species